ACUCGAGCGGCGAACGGGUGAGUAACACGUGAGUAAUCUGCCCUUGGCUUCGGGAUAGCCACCGGAAACGGUGAUUAAUACCGGAUACGACACAUCACUGCAUGGUGCGUGUGUGGAAAGUUUUUUCGGCCAGGGAUGUGCUCGCGGCCUAUCAGCUUGUUGGUGGGGUAAUGGCCUACCAAGGCUUCGACGGGUAGCCGGCCUGAGAGGGUGACCGGCCACACUGGGACUGAGACACGGCCCAGACUCCUACGGGAGGCAGCAGUGGGGAAUAUUGGACAAUGGGCGGAAGCCUGAUCCAGCAACGCCGCGUGAGGGAUGACGGCCUUCGGGUUGUAAACCUCUUUCAGCACAGACGAAGCGCAAGUGACGGUAUGUGCAGAAGAAGGACCGGCCAACUACGUGCCAGCAGCCGCGGUAAUACGUAGGGUCCGAGCGUUGUCCGGAAUUAUUGGGCGUAAAGGGCUCGUAGGCGGUUUGUCGCGUCGGGAGUGAAACACCGGGCUUAACUCGGUGCUUGCUUUCGAUACGGGCAGACUAGAGGUAUUCAGGGGAGAACGGAAUUCCUGGUGUAGCGGUGAAUGCGCAGAUAUCAGGAGGACACCGGUGGCGAAGGC
rnacentral:rRNA from 1 species